rnacentral:rRNA from 1 species
UACGGAGGGUGCGAGCGUUGUCCGGAUUUAUUGGGUUUAAAGGGUGCGUAGGCGGCUUUUUAAGUCAGCGGUGAAAUUUUGCAGCUUAACUGUAACAGUGCCGUUGAUACUGGGGAGCUAGGAUUUGGUUGCUGUGGGUGGAAUGUGUGGUGUAGCGGUGAAAUGCUUAGAGAUCACACAGAAUAUCGAUUGCGAAGGCAGCUCACAAAGCCAAGAUUGACGCUGAGGCACGAAAGUGUGGGGAUCAAACAGGAUUAGA